AAGCCAGGCAUAGCCAAACUUGGCCCUCCAGCUGUUUUGGGACUGCAACUCCCAUCAUCCCUAGCUAACAGGACCAGUGGUCAAGGAUAAUGGAAAUUGUAGUCCCAAAACAGCUGGAGGGCCAAGUUUGGCCAUGCCUGAUGU